UUUAUGGAGAGUUUGAUCCUGGCUCAGGAUGAACGCUGGCGGCGUGCCUAAUACAUGCAAGUCGAGCGAACGGACGAGAAGCUUGCUUCUCUGAUGUUAGCGGCGGACGGGUGAGUAACACGUGGAUAACCUACCUAUAAGACUGGGAUAACUUCGGGAAACCGGAGCUAAUACCGGAUAAUAUUUUGAACCGCAUGGUUCAAAAGUGAAAGACGGUCUUGCUGUCACUUAUAGAUGGAUCCGCGAUGCAUUAGCUAGUUGGUAAGGUAACGGCUUACCAAGGCAACGAUGCAUAGCCGACCUGAGAGGGUGAUCGGCCACACUGGAACUGAGACACGGUCCAGACUCCUACGGGAGGCAGCAGUAGGGAAUCUUCCGCAAUGGGCGAAAGCCUGACGGAGCAACGCCGCGUGAGUGAUGAAGGUCUUCGGAUCGUAAAACUCUGUUAUUAGGGAAGAACAUAUGUGUAAGUAACUGUGCGCAUCUUGACGGUACCUAAUCAGAAAG
rnacentral:rRNA from 1 species